AAACCGUGCCUAUUAUAAGCUGGUCCUUGCGAUUUAACGCUCUAUGUGGUACAGCAAUUGUAAUGGGUAGGCGCGACGCUCACCGCCAGGCGCGACGCUCACCGCCAGGCGCACGACUUUGUUCCACCCGUCACUUGGUAUGAUCUCCACAACAGCAUUCCGUCGAAGAGACUCAUCUAAAAAUAAAUACCUUGCUGCUAAGAAACGUUGACGUUAUUGAACAAUAUUAACUGACAACAUUAAUCGAAACUGACACUGGCCCAAGCCUAGUGGCCGCCAUUAAGGAAUUAGAAAUAGAAUAGAACUUUGAUUUCGACUAAGCAAAGAUGGCAAGACAAGCAGGUUUUCUGUAUUUACCAUAGAUAUAGGAAAAAAGGGGAGAUUUGGUAUGAGGGCGUGGUUCGUGUCGUCUCGAUAUGGUCAUUUUGACCAUAUCGGAGGUGACACGCCUUCAAACAUCGCUACAGUAACAUGGCGAUCGUUGUACAUACAAGAUCUCUCCAAACACGUGAAAAUGCCAAGUUGUAGUGAUAAG